CUUUUCUCCCCAGGCUUCGCCAGAGUCUCCCCGGGCCUGCCUCGCCCGUUCUCAGUGCUGCGGACCGUAUGAGUUACUGUCCGUCGUGGGCUCCAAAGUCCCGGCAGCACUUCGUCUUCGACAUCCCGCUUCCUUCACACGGGGUCGCCCCCGCCAGCCGCCUGGGUUCCAGUUUACUUUUGCCGACGACCUCCUCUGCCUGGCAUGUCCUUCCUCUCAAAUGUCACAUCUGUGAAGCCUCACCUAAAACUCUGUUUCUGAGAUCGACACCUCCAAGAUUAAACUCAUUGGUUAUGCUCCUAAUGUUGGUCUGGGAAUCAGAAACUGAGGACUGCAGACUUACUGCUAGCAUGCCACUAGACCCAGUUCCUCAGCCUCCUCUGUGGGUAGGUGUGCUGAAGGAGAAGACUCAACCAAUGAAAUGUGGACGGAAGAGAUAGACAGCCAGGCCCAUGAUCGCACCCAUCCUGCCCAACCCUCCUUUUGCCACCUGGAUGGUGAUCCCCAGGGAAUCCUUGAAAGUCAUGUGUUGCACAUGACUCUGUCUCUGUCAGUCUAGGUUCCUAAAUGACUGCAUGGAACAGACAUACUCAGACUACUACCACCUCCUCCCCUCCUCCCAUCAGUUGUACUUGAAGUGACUGAGAAGUUGUAUUAAACCACUGAUUUGUAUUAAUACCUUUGUAUUAAACCACUGAUUUUUCCAGGUUUAUCUGUUAUAGUUGCUAGGGCUAUCUUUGCAAGCUGUUUUGUACUCAGUUUCAAAGAGAGCCAAAAUGAUCGGAAAAGCAGGUGAAUUUUUCAAGUGGAUGGCUCUUUUUUAUUGUAAUCCUGCUUUCUGUGCUCCAUCAUGUGUCUCCCUUCCUUUGAUGUUUGAAGACAAUCAUCACACAAUCUGAGGGCAGAAUUUAAAACUAUUCAUCUAUCAAAGAGGCAAAAAAGGUCAGGGAUGAUGCUGCAUGCCUGUAAUCCCAGCCUUUGGGAGGUUGA